CCAGACUCCUACGGGAGGCAGCAGUGGGGGAUAUUGCACAAUGGGGGGAACCCUGAUGCAGCGACGCCGCGUGGGUGAAGGAGCGUUUCGGCGCGUAAAGCCCUAUCGGCAGGGAAGAAGGAGGACGGUACCUGACUAAGAAGCCCCGGCUAACUACGUGCCAGCAGCCGCGGUAAUACGUAGGGGGCAAGCGUUAUCCGGAUUUACUGGGUGUAAAGGGGGCGCAGACGGCAGCGCAAGCCAGGAGUGAAAGCCCGGGGCCCAACCCCGGGACUGCUCUUGGAACUGCGCGGCCGGAGUGCAGGAGGGGCACGCGGAAUGCGCGGUGUAGCGGUGAAAUGCUUAGAUAUCGCGCAGAACCCCGAUUGCGAAGGCAGCGUACCGGCUCCACACUGACGCUGAGGCACGAAAGCGUGGGUAUCGAACAGGAUUAGAUACCCCCGUAC
rnacentral:rRNA from 1 species